AUCACAGUCCAUUUUCACUUUGAUAUCAACAGUCUGCAUUGGCUUGCGCUUCCUCUUUUUUUUGGCAUCUCUAAGUAAGUCAGAGAGGUAAUCUGAGAGAGAGUCAAGAGCACCCAUUUGCUUAAUUUCGAAAGCUAAAGCAGAUAGUUUCAGAGAGAGAGAGAGAAGGAGAAGACACGAGAGAAAUAAAAGAGGGAAGAAUGGAAAUAAAUGUAGCGUAUUUG
rnacentral:misc_RNA from 1 species